AUUGAACGCUGGCGGCAGGCUUAACACAUGCAAGUCGAGCGGAGAUGAGGUGCUUGCACCUUAUCUUAGCGGCGGACGGGUGAGUAAUGCUUAGGAAUCUGCCUAUUAGUGGGGGACAACAUUCCGAAAGGAAUGCUAAUACCGCAUACGCCCUACGGGGGAAAGCAGGGGAUCUUCGGACCUUGCGCUAAUAGAUGAGCCUAAGUCGGAUUAGCUAGUUGGUGGGGUAAAGGCCUACCAAGGCGACGAUCUGUAGCGGGUCUGAGAGGAUGAACCGCCACACUGGGACUGGGACACGGCCCAGACUCCUACGGGAGGCAGCAGUGGGGAAUAUUGGACAAUGGGCGGAAGCCUGAUCCAGCCAUGCCGCGUGUGUGAAGAAGGCCUUUUGGUUGUAAAGCACUUUAAGCGAGGAGGAGGCUACCUGGAUUAAUACUCUAGGAUAGUGGACGUUACUCGCAGAAUAAGCACCGGCUAACUCUGUGCCAGCCGCCGCAGUAAAAC
rnacentral:rRNA from 1 species